GCCUCAGUCAUCAGCUCCUGGUUCUCCGACUCCUCUUCUAGCUGCAGCUCCCGGCGCAGGCUAGUGUGCUUGGCGGACACCUUGGAUGAAAAAGAACCUUGUGGCCCCUCCCAAGACAGUCAGGACUCCAGCAGGGGAAACAGAAGAGAGCAGAACUGAGCUGUGCAGAACCCAGGACACCAGUCCAGGAGUGGCACCACACAUAAUGGGCUGGGCUCUUACCUAGCAAUCACUAGUUAAGAAAAUACUUUAUGGCUGGGUCUGUCCAGGUGUUUUUUCAUUUGAGGUUCUCUCCCUUCAGAUGAUACUAGCUUGUGUCAAGUUUACAUAAAACUAUCCAGAACAAUGGGUCACUCCAGGUCACCAGAACUGUGUUCUAAGACCAGAGUCACUUACACCAGACUCAGUAAACAUGUUUGUAGACAGACUUUUCUUUCUCACCAGUCAGUUCCCAAAUAACCACCCAGAGACCUAUUAUAAAUGCUUAGCCGGUAGCUUAGGUUCAUUUUCAGAUAGCUCUUAUAAUUUAAAUUAACCCAUUUAUACUAAUCUAUGUGCUGUUCCAGACUCAUUUAUCUCAUGCAUGUACUCCCCAUCCUGCUCACUCUCCUUAGGCCUCCACCUUCUUCCCAGUGUUCUCUGUCUUUCUCUCCCACCUAACCUC